rnacentral:rRNA from 1 species
GACGAACGCUGGCGGCGUGCUUAACACAUGCAAGUCGAGCGGAAAGGCUCCUUCGGGGGUACUCGAGCGGCGAACGGGUGAGUAACACGCGAGUAACCUGCCCUGGGCUUUGGGAUAACCCUCGGAAACGGGGGCUAAUACCGGAUAUUCACAUGCUGCGGCAUCGUGGUGUGUGGAAAGUUUUUCGGCGUGGGAUGGGCUCGCGGGCUAUCAGACUGUUUGUGGGGUGCUGGCCUACCAAGGCGACGACGGGUAGCCGGACGGGGAGGGCGAUAGGCCAAACCGGGGACGACGACCGGGACAGACUCCUACGGGAGGCAGCGGUGGGUCAGAUUGCGCAAUGGGCGGGCGCCUGACGCAGCGUCGCCGCGUGCGGGAUGACGGCCGUCGGGUGGCAAACCUCCUUCGGCAGGGCCGGAGCGUAAGUGACGGUACCUGGAUAAGAAGCACAGGCCAACUACGUGCCCGCCGCUGCGGUAAUAC